CCACAAAGUUUAACGGCCGCGGUAUCCUGACCGUGCGAAGGUAGCGUAAUCAUUUGUCUUUUAAAUAGAGACCUGUAUGAAUGGCAUAACGAGGGUUUAACUGUCUCCUUCCCCUAGUCAAUGAAAUUGAUCUGCCCGUGCAGAAGCGGACAUAAACACAUAAGACGAGAAGACCCUAUGGAGCUUUAGACAAAAGAUCAAACAUGUAAAGAAACCAAACCAACCAAAAGGAACACGAAGGCCACAAAACCCAACGUAAACUGAUCUAAAUGUCUUCGGUUGGGGCG
rnacentral:rRNA from 1 species